AUAAACAAUUAUCUAUAAACUAGUAUUAACAAUUUUUAACAAAAACAACACUAUUAAACUGAACAGGCAAUCCAAAUACUUUCUCCUUUCCUUUUGUAUCAGGAAACUACUAUUACCUUUACUUAUUAUGAAAUAUUCCCGAAUUUAAUAGAACUAACUUUAUUAAAUAACUGUAGAACAACCCACUAUAAAAAAUAGUUAGAAACUAAACAUCAAGCGAAUCUAAACAUAACUGGUUUUUCAACCUCAAAACAAAAUAAAUAAGUAUUCUGUUUAACUCAACAAUAAAAAUAUUCCAUCAAAACUAAAAGUAUUUACACAGUAUUAUUACUACAUUCUUUAGUACAUCUAUAUUUUAAAUGAAAUUUCCUUCUGCUAAAUAAAUACCUGUAUUUAUAAGUAAUAAAUUCAACCAUAAUCAAAAAACUAGGCCAAAGAAUAUAGACUGUUUAUCAAAAACAUAACUUAUAGAAAUUACUAUAAGCGCCUCCUGCUCCAUGAAUUCUAAAUAGCCGCAGAUUUCCUGUGCUAAGGUAGCAUAAUCAUUUGUCUCUUAAUUAGAGAAUUGUAUGAACGGAAAAACUAUUUUCUACUAUUUCAAUUCAAUUUAUAAUAAAAUUAUAUUAAAAGUAAAAACCCUUUUUUAAAAAGAAAGACGACAAGACCCUAAUAAACUUAACUUAAGUUUCGCUGGGGUGGCUAAUUAAAAAUAACCAAUGUUACUAUAGGGAUAACAGCAUUAUAUAGUUUUAAAGCUCUUAUUUAUAACUAAGCUUGUGACCUCGAUGUUGAAUUAAAUGUCUACAGCACGUAAAAAAACUGUAAGAAAGUCUGUUCGACUUAUAACUAUUUACAUGAUUUGAGUUCAGACCGGUGUAAGCCAGGUCGGUUUCUAUCUUCUCUAUACAAGCCCUAGUACGAAAGGACCAUGCUUUAAGCCUAUUGCUU
rnacentral:rRNA from 1 species